CCAGACUCCUACGGGGGGCAGCAGUGGGGAAUAUUGGGCAAUGGGCGCAAGCCUGACCCAGCAACGCCGCGUGAAGGAAGAAGGCUUUCGGGUUGUAAACUUCUUUUAAGAGGGAAGAGUAGAAGACGGUACCUCUUGAAUAAGCCACGGCUAACUACGUGCCAGCAGCCGCGGUAAUACGUAGGUGGCAAGCGUUGUCCGGAUUUACUGGGUGUAAAGGGCGUGUAGCCGGGUUGACAAGUCAGAUGUGAAAUCCUGCGGCUUAACCGCAGAACUGCAUUUGAAACUGUUGAUCUUGAGUACUGGAGAGGCAGACGGAAUUCCUAGUGUAGCGGUGAAAUGCGUAGAUAUCAGGAGGAACACCGGUGGCGAAGGCGGCCUGCUGGACGGCGACUGACGUUGAGGCCCGAAAGCGUGGGGAGCAAACAGGAUUAGAUACCCUCGUAAAC
rnacentral:rRNA from 1 species